rnacentral:misc_RNA from 1 species
CUGAGUGAGCGCUCUCGGGCGCGACCUCCAACCCUUUGUAUUCCGACCAUGUUGCCUCGGGGGCGACCCGGCCUUCGGGCGUCGGGGCCCCCGGUGGACCCAUAACUCUGCAUCUUUGCGUCUGAGUAUGAUAUUGAAUCAAUCA